rnacentral:rRNA from 1 species
AUUGAACGCUGGCGGCAUGCCUUACACAUGCAAGUCGAACGGCAGCACGGGUGCUUGCACCUGGUGGCGAGUGGCGAACGGGUGAGUAAUACAUCGGAACGUACCUUAUCGUGGGGGAUAACGCAGCGAAAGUUGCGCUAAUACCGCAUACGCCCUGAGGGGGAAAGCGGGGGACCGUAAGGCCUCGCGCGAUUAGAGCGGCCGAUGUCUGAUUAGCUUGUUGGUGAGGUAAAAGCUCACCAAGGCGAUGAUCAGUAGCUGGUCUGAGAGGACGAUCCGCCACACUGGGACUGAGACACGGCCCAGACUCCUACGGGAGGCAGCAGUGGAGAAUGUUGGACAAUGGGGGCAACCCUGAUCCAGCAAUGCCGCGUGAGUGAAGAAGGCCUUCGGGUUGUAAAGCUCUUUUGUCAGGGAAGAAACACCGGCUCUAACACAGUCCGGGAAUGACGGUACCUGAAGAAUAAGCACCGGCUAACUACGUGCCAGCCGCCGCCGUAA